UGAAAGAGGCCAGUCCCCUAGUUGGUAGUCUCUGACUCCCUCCUUAUUACGCCAGCCGGAGAAAAGGGAGAAACCGAUGGUAGAGACAUGACUGGAAUCCAGGAGACUGACGAGAUUGAGCCCCCACCUCAAGUUCAUAUGCUCUGGUGGGAUGAUUUCAACGAGAAAUUCCCAACCCCUCCUAUUACUCCCUGAAAGCCCAGCAAGUGAUGAAUCCUUUACCCUUGCUCAUAUUCUGGAAAAUCUUCCCAUGUCCUUCCAUUCAGUAUAGGUAAACCAUUUAGGGAGAAUGGGUUUUUCGGUCUUUCUCACGUGUUUUUUUUCGCUCGUAAAAUGUUUACCUAUCUUCCGCGGAGAAUGGUCGAUCGGUUUUCUUCUUUUAAAGAACUUUGUAAAUGAAUUAAGAAAGACAGAGAGAUAUUGACUUUUUUCACAUCUGUAACUACAUUUUCACAUUUCUUUUGAAAAAGAUGUAGAACUGAAUAGCGCAGCUGUUUUGGCUCGCAAUAAAGCAAGGGUCCUGAUCGAGCAAGACUACGUCCUAUCUAUCUACCUCUCCAAACACAAUAUCUUGAGUACCUAUGAUGGUGACUACAUCUGCUGGCAUGUGAUGUUUGGACAUAGAAUCGAGUCCUUGUGAAUGGGCAAAGCCAGGUGCUCUUAUUUUACAACGGUAGGGACGAUUACUCCCAUUACUGACAAGAAAGACACCAAAUUCACCUUUAGGUGCUUCAACUGCGGUAUAGGUAGAAGGAGCUGGUACGGAAAAACCUUCUGUAUAAAGUUCGAAAUGGUGAAUUGAGGUAGAGUAGACCGAUGAUCCGGUAGUCAUUUGGCCGGCUAUGGAAAGAAAAAGCUUGCAUCUGCUCCCCCUAAACUAUAACAGGUCCCAUCUCUCUCCAAACCUAACGUGGUAGUUUCCCAUCAUAAGGCUUUCCAUCUAUAGAUUGAUUGAGCCAUUACCCACCAAGGAUCCCAUUCGUUCAGAACUCAGUUGACUGCUUCUAUAGAUAAGGCGGAACGUCCUUAGUUCAGCAUUAUAGCACAUAGUCUCCGACGCUACUACAGCGCUUCGCUAACUCGAAGCGCCUCGCUAUGAGAAUGACGCUUCGCUAACGCUCGGCUAAGUCGUCGAACCCUCGCGCUGACCAUUCGCUUUCUCAGUAGCGAAAGCGCUUCUCUUUGCCCCUUAACUUAAUCUUAAUAAAGUAAGUAUUUGGAAAAGAAAGAGAUUCUUGGUUUUAUUGCUCCCGCUUCCUCAUCUGCGCUCGUCAAGCCAACUUUGCUUUUUGGGAGGUGAAAGAGGAAGCGGACAUUUCGAAAUGACAGCAUCGAAGAUAUCUAUAUACACAGGAACGCUUAUUCCGGACUGCGUUCCGGAAAAAGUAGCCUACUUGACAGAAAGGGCGGGCACUCUCGGCUCGGGGGUAGGCACUCUCGUCUUUCAACCCCACCGUCACUUUGAAUUUAGUGGGGCACUGUUUACUUACAGCCUCUACGAGUUGCAAGUGAAUGGGGCCGGUGCGUGUGAACGGAAGGGUUCAUCAAGCCAUUUUAACCCCUAAACAAAAUAGGAAGAGGGGUACUUGACUAAUAGGGGGCAAUUGCAUCGCACCUGACUGUGAGGGACCUCUUGAUACCUUAUGUUCACUUCCUAACUAGUAGCCGGUUUCCUGUCGCGGAAGCCUUUUCCCAGUGCGCGGAGCCGAAGGUGUUAGUGCUUUCUCAUGGGGUCAAUAAUGCUAAUCCCUCUUUUUGUGCCGGGAAGAAGAUAAGAAAAGGCGAAGCCUUCUCUUGGUUUCCCAACCUGUUGCUUCUAAAGGCUGCCCUCUCUCGGCUGGAUUUUGGUCCAGCCUACUACGAGGAUCCCGUAUCCCGUACAUCGUCUUUCUCCCUCCUGGGUUCCCGUGGUUCCUAUGCCGCCGCGUUUCCCGGUCCUUUUCUUUUUUUAGUGCUUCGACCCGAAGCGAUAGCUUGACGCGUUUUCCGUGGAUAAGAUGGCAGCGCUCCAGCUCACUAAAGAAUGGGACGGCAGUGGUCCGCCGGCAAGCUCGUUCUGAUCUUGGACGCAGUACAUUGGAAUCCUGAAGCACCACCACGAACGCUACCGCGCGUGCGCCUGCGGUGCGGUAAGGCACCACCCUGUUGUGCCAGCAGCCAACUCCGGCGUGUCAGCUUAGUUAUCCUCAUCAAGCCACAACCUUGAUGUCUAGCUUCCCAACUGGUAGACGGUUCCCUUUCCCCCGGAUCAAUGAAGAAGGGAGAAGUCAGUUGAUUCUUCCGAAGAACCGGAAGCGAAGCGCUAUGCCGGGGCGAGGGGACGGGAAAAGAAACUGCUCCGAAGAAAGAUAUUGGGGUUCCCAAUGCUUCUCCACGCCCAACGAGAUGCGCCAACCUCGGGAUGCUUUACUCCUAACCCCACGACGGUUCCGAGACGGAGCUUAACCUGAGUCUCGGUUAAGAACGGCGAUGAUCUACGUUUCACACGGCGCACGAUUCCAUGGAUAGUUUCAUUCGAGAUCGUGAUGGAGGACAUAGCUUACGAUCAUCGGCUUUGAUCAUGCCACUAGGCAUUUGAUUAGGACAUUGCACAAUGAUCCGAACACUUUGUCGCAUCUCUUCGAUACGAAUACAGUAACGAUCAUAGCGAUCUCCUCUGGUACCUACUGGUACGUCAAGAUCCGAUUGGUCAUGAACAUCGUAAGGUGCUGCUCUUCGCGAAUCCCAGCAUACCCCAGGUUGGGAUGGGUAGGCCCACCACUUCACUUUUUCACUUUCACUUAGGCCCGGGCCAAGUCAGUGGGGGGACCCUGUCGGGCUCCUUCCCCCCCAAAACAAACUGUACGUGGGAGUUUCCCUUCAUACGGCUCGAAUCAUUCUCAGAUGCCCCGAGAGGCAUCUUUCCUUAUGAUCUGGUGGUUCACACGCGCGCAAACGAGCACCGGCCGCAACAGCAAGGAACUAUGACCAAUAGAGUCAGACACAGAGCGUCAUACUUCUUUAUCUUGUGAUGGUUGAGGAGUUUCUUUCUCAGAGGGUGCGGGACGCUUGCGGAGUCCGUACCUUCCGUACCACCACAGGUCGUUCUUGGGCAGAUCCCGCUCCUAAACAUAAGGGAGGGAUAGGGGGAAAGGGGCCGGGCCUAUCAUAUAAAUAGGGUUGUAGAAAGACCACGUAUUUUCAUUCGACGUUCCGGGGCGCCCGAUUCGAUCAACGAAUUUGGCGAGCUGAUCUGCUUUGAUCCAGGAGAAAGCCCAGUCAGCCACCUUUUCGGUGCAGGUCACGUGACCUACAGCUCGGCCUUCGCUUUUUGAGACUUCCUCUACCCACAUCUCUAUGUGCCCGCAGCACUUUCAUAUGGAGAAAGAUGGGCUUACCAUGUUCCAUCAAUAGCACCUAACCUAUGCCGAUUUUGGCGGACCGUGCUCCACCCCGGUGAACUCAUGCGGUUCCGACGUGCCCAGAGGCCAGAGGCGAAUCCGUUCACGGUCCGUAGGACCAACACCAUUCGAAGGUUGAUGGCCCGCCCCGCCUAGAAUAGGAAUCUUUGACUGGGCUUACACACAUUCGCUCACUUACGCUGUCCCCCCUCAGCUCACCCUAGCCCCGGGUACGUCGUCUCCAAGGCUUCACACAAAAUCUUCACUGACAACAUAUGCAUGCUUUUGUAGGGUCGGGCAGAACCGUUGUUGCCUGAUGGGAACUUCCCCCAUAUUGCUAUCAAUGUCUUCAUGUCGCACGACCUCUUAACAUUACACCACUGAAUCCCCAAUCCUUUGCUUGCUGUGCAGUGACAGUACCAAUAUCCACUAAUCGUUGUUUCCAGAUACGGUUGCCGGUUGACAUCUCUUCUAAUUCGUCGAUACGAGAAGCAAAUUGUUGUGUGGAGGAAUCAAUAUCUCGACAUAAGCCAAGAGGCAGAUCUUGUGCCACUCCACCAGGUCGUAUGAAACUGGCAUGCAUCCUGGCUCCCGGGACUCUUUCAUAGAAUUCCAACAAUUUCUCCCGCUCCUCAAAAGCCCAAAGGAACGGAGUUGAUGCUCCCACAUCCAUAGCAUGAGUAGUUGAAGCAAGUGAAUGAUUUGAAAUUCGAGUUAUUUCACAGAAUAACACUCGUAUAUAUUGAGCUCGUAAUGGUACCUCACAAUUCAAAAGUCUCUCUACGGCUGAAGAAUGAGCGUGUUCUUGGGCCAUCGUAGAAACAUAGAUAGGGUCAACGACGGAACGAACAACGAAACUUUACGACAGCUUUUUCGUACACGUUCACUUGCAUCACAUACACAAGUGCUCUCUGAACCGUGCAAUAAGGUCACCCAUAACACGGCUCUCCCACUGGAGUUACCUUAGCCCCGGGCCAUGCUAUUCCAUGAUAUUGGAAUAAUGGCAGCCUAACUACUUAUUAUCAUCGUCUUGAAAGCUGGGCGCCUUUUGAAUAUGAGUGGGGCUCCUAGUCUAGGCGGCGCCUUCGUGGAGCCAAACCGAAGGAAGAGGAUAAAAAGGUGCUGUCAUCUAUCUCGACCUGUUUCCCGAGGCGUUGGAAAUGAAGACCGGCUCAGAGAAUCACUGGCGUGCUUUCUCUCCCCCAUCGUUUCGCCAACAAAGAAGUCAUCCUUGACUUGACGAUUGACCAUUCCAUCCCUACCGAGCCGCCUCUUCGAAGUAUUUACCUCUGCCUUUCUUUUUUUCUCCAAAUAUAAAAGAAAAAAUAAAGAACCUCGUCUGUGAUUUAAUCGGCCCUAAGGGAGUUUACUCGACCCAUUCUCCAGUCUCCCGCACUGCUCAAGUGUGCGACUCCGUAUGAGGACCUCCUUCCCUUUUGCUCUGCCCACUCUCCGUUCACACGGUUAUCAAAGCGGAGGAAGGGUGGGCAGCAGGUACCACGAGCCCUCUGUCCCACACAUCUAUCAAGAAGCAAGUGUAGUUCACCGGUUCCACCGAAUGCUCCUAUCUCUCGGCAAAGAUCGUGUGAGUGUGCAGUUAUGCUUCGGAUGCUUCGCCAUGGAAUAGAUCGACUCUGUUCCCCUUCUUUUCCGGUGCACUCGCUUUAUAUCUCCGACACACAAGGAAGGACGUGGUGGGAAGAAAGCAGCCCUAGCCUCUGUCCGGUCGAUCAUUCCGCUGGCAUCUUGCAUUCACGCCUCCGUUUGACUGCCGCUCGGGAAUGUAGUUGUAGAUACGUGAGUCUUAGUGGGUCGUUGGCUCCACCUCUUAUCUCCUUCUACGACAUGCUGUAGUCGUCGCCAUAUUCAAUAUGUCACUUAGUCAUAUCUGCCUCGCAGCGGGUCAGCACCCCCGAAAGAAAGGGAGGGAGGACUUCAUUCAGUGACUCCGCGAUCGCCCUCUGAACGAUCAAAAUAAGGUAAAGCUUGAAGAUAAGUUUUGUACUCGAUUAAUUUCUCAGUCCCUCUAGUCGGGUGGGCGCCGGCCGGCCGGAUCCCCCUGAAAACCGUACGUGCGGGUCUCCCCGCAUGCGGCUCACGCCAUUUGAGGUGGCCCAGCCCAGCAUUCAUUCGCAAAUCCUGUAGUGAAAUUGAGACCGCUCGACCAGCAAGAGGAUGCGCGUUAGCGCAACGGCUUUCGCGCUAGUUGCUCAAUCCCUUGCUUGUUCGGAAGCUAAUUCGCGUGUAGGCAGCGCUGUCUGUCUACCGUUGACUGUAUCUAUUCAUUGAUACAUUGGCUCGCUCCCCCCCUCUUUUUCCAAGAAUGAAUGAGCUGCUCGGACCUUCCAUUUCCGUCAAAUGACCCGGCUUCCCCUGGCUCUUCCACCGUCCGGGCUCCCUUUCCUCCCUAUGCUCCCCCGGCGCAGGCCCACCACGCUUCGCGCCUGCGGCGUUUUCGCCAGACGGUCUUUGCCAGUAGUGCCAUCCUCCCCGCAGGCUGUCUGUAUGGGUGGGUUGUCCCUUGCUGCUACGUUCUGUUAGGCGCUAUGAAUUACAGGAAAUUAAGUGGUUGACUUGGACAGCAGGCGGGUUACACGUUCCACUGUGCCGAGAUGUGAGGUGCAGGUGGUGAUGAUCACCCCGGGGUAUGCGCUAGCGCCCUUGACGGGCACUCCAGGACCCGCCUACGCUCGUGAAAACCCAGGUCGGUCCUCCGACCAGAUGUGUGGAUAACGAGGCCACCUUCACAACCUUCUCCCUUCUAUCUUUAUCCAAAGUCAGGUAGAGCGGUUCGCUUGAGUUGCUCAACCGUCCCUUUGCCCGGUGCUCAUGACGCGCUACUCCACCGUGCUAGCGGCAUAGGAGCCUACUCAGCGUCAGCGGCUUCGUGCCGCACUGGAGUGAUCCAAUAUGUGGUUCCGCACGUUCCACCACUUCUCCGUUCAUUUCCAAUACUGAUCGUGAAACACCAUGAGCAGCAGGAUGUUGAGGUCCGGAAUUCGAAGUGAAAUUCUUGAUUUGCCCGUUCCUAGUCGUCAUGGGAAAGAAAUAAGAAAGAAAUAAGAAAGAGAUUAUUCCCCUAGAGCUUGUCCAGUACCACCUGUACUCAAAAUGCAUCUCCGCGCGUCUACCUGGCGCUUUUAUUAGCCGCCUUGCAUGCAAGCGAAGCGCUAUUGGCGGCAAUUAAUAGCUCACUGAGCGAUGAUUGAUGCAGUCAGUCAGUGCCCUCGAUUAUUCCUGAUAGAAGGAUCAUGGCGCCCCGGAAGCAUUCCAUCCAGCAGCAGCAUCUCCUUCAACCACGCGAGGACAAAACUGAUGUUAGCUACAUUCGAGCGUUCACCGCACAGAGGCGAUCUCGAACACUACCUAUGAUAAUAAAUCCAAAGGAAAGGUCGAUAAAAUGAUUCAAUCUGACUUUAUCGGUAUUCUGGAUUGAGUAAAAAAGGGAUAUAUGAAGUUCAAGGCCUUGCCAAAACCGUCAUGGCCCUAUUAUGUAUAGGCCGUACUAAGCCAAUAGCGAAUAACAAACUCUUUCCUGCUCCCUCGACCUUAAUUCACUCCCAUCCUGCCAAGCCUCAGCUGCCAGCGCAUUGUAUCUAAGCACACUGUGGCAAAUUGAUACAAGUAGCUAAAGAUCUCGCAUCCGACAUCUCCGGCCGAACGGUUAGGCAACACUAGGGCGCCUGGGUCAAAACAAAAUUCCGUUUACCAAACAAGAUGUCGAGAGGCGAACUCUGUAAUUCCCCUCCUGCAAAAGUGAUAGCGGCUGUAGCAUCCGUGUGGAAGAGGGUAAGCUUUCGGCAACACCUUUUUCAGAUUGGAAAGGAUGAAUACUUGUGUUGGGUCCUGCAGACCAGGAUAGCCUCAGAUCAAAACCUAAAUGUGCCAGGGGUUGAUCAUAGAAGCCAGGGCAAUAAGUAUUCAGGAAUUUGAGCGCUUAUGUAGCUAAUAACUCUGCCACCUGAAUACUUUAUUCAUUAAGGUCGUCACCCUAUACCCGGAAGUCUCUAUCGUUUUCUUUGUCUGUUAAGCUUCACAGGGUUAGGACUCCCUAAAUCAAACAGCAAUCGCUGUUUAUCAACCACUCACGGCGACACCGAGAUCUUCGACUUAGCUCCCUCCCACAGGUCAUCCCCCCGGGGCGGAAGAUAACGAAAGGGAGACAAAAAGUCCUAACUAAAUCAACACACAAUAACCUAAACCUUCUACCCAUUCCAUCCAUCAUAUCCGUCGAGUCGAGGAGAUUCGUUCUUAUCUAUAGAUAAGGCAAGAGAGAACUUAUGCCCUCGCGGAUGGAGAGGGAUUCGAACCCCCGGUAUUCCUAUCAAUACUUCGGUUUUCAAGACCGACUCUUUCAACCGCUCAGACAUCCAUCCCUGCGCUCGCCCGCCCUAUCUAUCUGCGCGCUGGCAGGUAGGGGCAACUCUAUGUGAUUCGCUACGCUUACUUGCGCCCCACCCCGUAAGCUGACUCUAUUGCCUAGCACACUUUUCCGGUAGUACGAAUCGCUACGCUUCGCUUCUUUCUAUAUGAUAAUAUGCACCGUCGGUUGCUGCGCUCCCUGCGGGUAAUAGCAAGAGAGUGAAGAACGAACGAUCCUCAAAACUAAAAAGUCAGCAGUGAAUGAGUCCGACUCGAGUUCGUGAGUCAAAGGCGUGGCAAGAGAGCGAGUUCGACUCGCGAACGAUCCGCAAGUGAAGGACCGAUCCUUUAACGCCAGUACUGUUGCGAGACUGGUACUUGGCGGCUCACGAGCAACAUAUAGACUAAGGUUGCCCAUCACUCCCUCGCUCCUUUUUGAAGGCCCACCGCUCCCCCUUUCUUUAAGUAUCUAUCCCGGCUUGCAUUUUGGGGCGAGUACUACAGUUCCUCCAUAAUCACACAGAACGCCCAGCUUCGCAGAGCUGCUCUCUCCCCAGUCCACAGCAAGGUGUGGAAUCUGGAUCUACUGUGUGUUCUUACUCUAUUGGAUCAAGUCAGAUACUAAGCCUUCUACUACUACUACUUAGGUUUACUACUUAGGUUAGGAGAUAAAAUGCUAUAUUUCAGAGAUUGGACUCUCUUACUGUGUUUUUUCAGGGCUGUUCCCGAGCCAGGUUCCCUGGAUCCAUUCUGACCUAAAUGGAUGAAUGAAGAAGGGGUGUGACCUUAUGGCCAACUAUACUAGCUCCCCUAGAGGGAUAAUAUAGCUCCUAAAGGAUGAUUGUUUAUGGUAUAUUACCGUAAUUGGAGAAUUUGACCUGGUGCUGACUUGCUGCUGUUCUGAGAAGGGGACGGACCUUGCAAAGCUUUACAAGUUUUUUUUAGAUUUAUCGAUCCAAUCUGUCUACAGAUAGGCGCCUGCUGUGGCAGCAAUUAAUUAAUCUCCGCCUUAGCAUACAAGGACCAUGGCUCGCAGCGGGUGAUUUUCAUACUGUCAGAACCGUCGAGGGAGGUAGAGUUCCUUUUUUAACAGGAGCCCAGCCUUUUUUUUUUUCUUGACUGUCUGCAGAAUGCGAACCUGACCGAUCUUCGUUCCUCGGGGCACAUACUCUAUUGGAGCAAUCAAUCCGGUGGGGCCAGACGCAUCAUCGGCAGACUAGAUCGAGCCUUAGUUAAUCCUGAGUGGAUCCAAAAGCUUCAUGCUUCCUGUGCGGAAUAUCUUACGCCGGGCUGCAGUGAUCAUGCCCCGAUCCUCGUCUUAUUCCGGCUGUCAGCUCUGGACCAAAGCCAUGAAAGUACUUUCGCAUGUGGGAAUCCCACCCCUAUUGAUGUAGUGAAGAAAGCUCCCGGUCACGAGAAAUCCAAUGUUUCUUCAAAAAAGAAUAAACUGAAGAACACCAAACUAGCGCUCAAAGCAUGGGAUAAGCAAUCUUUCGGAAAAACUGGAGACAGAGUGAGGAUAUGCGGAAAUAAAGUAAAUGAAAUUCUAUUCAAGCAAGACUUGAUCCAAAUGGAUCCCCUCAAUGCUGAGCUUGUUGAUGAAGAAAAAGAGAGCUGAAAGCUGGUACAACAGUUUCUUAGUGAAUAGGGGACAAGUAUCUUGGCAAGAGUGAAUUCAAGAGAUUGUAGAGAGGUUUGAGGUCAGAAAUGUGGUUGGUGUAGUUGAUGAGUUUAAUCACUUGAGGCAAAGAGGAAGCCUAGAAGAGUACAAGUCACAAUUGGAAGAAUUGAGGGCUGCCAUGUUGAUGUGCAAUCCCUAUUACGAUGACAACCUUUUUCGACAAAGUUUUCUUGGGGGUAAGGGAAUGAGUUAAGCCUGUGCUGGGAGUACGGUUUAUUGGGUAUCUUUUUGGUCACCAUAGUGGGUGUAAGCCAUGCAGCCUUUAAACACCAUCUCAAAAUACUUGUGCUACGCCUUAGUGUAGGGGUGAGCUAGGGCAAAGAGAUGGCAAUACUUGGUUAAUCUUUCCUCUAUUACCAAUAUUACCCCCUUACCCUCCAAUUUAGGUAACCCUGUGAGAAAAGAAAUUCCAUUAGCUGCUCAUGCCUCCUCAGGUACCUGUACCCAUUUGUGAGCGCCUUUGGAUCAGCGAAAGAGCUCUGACUCUCCGAUACAUUUAUAGGAGAAAGGGGCGAGACCUUGAUUUUCACCUAUUGAGACGAGGUAGCCCAUUAUGAUAUAUAAGGUGAGUCAUUGAUUUAGUUACACACCCUCUUCUCUUAAUAAAUAGUCAAUUUCGAGUUCCGUGAAAGGCAUAUGGUUUAACACUGUUCCAUUCCACUUUUACCGAAGUGGUGUGCUUAACAGCAUCCUGUUCUUUAUACUAAUCUUAACAUAGUCUUUGUACGUUAAUAAGCAAAAAUCCUCUACCAGUGAAAUCUGAGAAGUCUGGCACUACCUGUGUAUCCUUAAACCUCUGACCAUCCGUUCUCGUACCAAAAGGUAAGAGUUGAGAAACCAUAGUUAGUGGUAGAAUGCUUAUUGAAAAGAGAGGUUCCACGUAAUUCCCUUAUAAUUCUAAGGCCUUGAACUUGAGGACAGCAACUCUUUUUCUAUUGAUCAGAAACAUAAGUAAGAAAGUAGCUAUUCUGAGAGGUACUUUAUUCUUCUCAUUCUUCAGUUCCUGCCUAUUAUUUACCAGAACUUAAGAUCUUUACUAACUUAACCUCACGCCAUAAAUGGAAUUCCCUAUCAUGAGCGCAACUGUAUUUACAAGUUCAGUAGCCAGAGUGAGCUUUCUCCUCAAUAUGGAUGUGGUGAUUGUUCCUCCAUUCUAAUCAUACAGACUUAUUAUCAGUGCUCCAAGCUCCAUGUGUUCUAGGGCUAAGACUACGUUGGUGUGGGCUCCCCUUAUCCUUCUUCUGGCAUUUGCUGAUCGAUUUCUAAAUGAGUGGAAUUUCGAUUCUCUAACUGCUCAAAUAGCAAUGGUUUCCAGUUCCGCAUUGACCAUAGGAUUGGCUUGGCAGGCAGCUUGGCUUAAAGAAUAUCAUCUUGAAAAUCCGGUGGAAAAUGUCAUCUUCAAAAUGAGACUGAGACCUACCUUUUCGAAUUGUCAGAGGCUAUGAGAUCCACUUUCUUUUGGAAAGAUAAAUACAUGUAUUUAGGGAAGGUUCAUUGGUAGAAAUCAAAGGGGUAGCAAGCUCAGUGGCAGGGGAGCAGCGUGGUGUAGCUCCCCUUGGUUGCAAAGAAAAAACGUGUAGUUAAGUAUGCGAGGAGUGAAUCAAUAAGGUUCCACGGUUCAGUACUCUAAUUGAUCAGUUAAUAGCAAUUAUAGACUCUCAUUCAAUAGAUAAUAGUAUUGUUUUUCUUUACCUGUGCCAUGGCCAACUCUUCUCCCCGCCGAAAAAUGAAGUUAUGCUUUCACAACUGUAAAAAAUGCCAAUACAUUGCUUGCCCAAUGACCUAUUGGAAAUUUCCUCUUAUCGCUGUUUGGUGAGACUUUACCAACCCUUACUUUACACCUAAGGUAAGGUAGCUGCUUUACCUAGUAAUUCUUUUCUACUUUACUACAUCAUUAGAUCAAAGCAAUAACCUAUUCCUAAGCUUCACUACUUAAUACUCCCAAUUCCUACAGUCCUACUGUACACCUAUAAGAACUCCUUUGAAAAAACAUACUAAUCCUAAACAAUGAAAACUACCUAAGCAUAAGCAAGCCUUAGUCACAAGCCCUAGUCUGAAUCUUCCUUGUGUCUAGUUGAUAGGAUGAUCUGGUGCAAGCUGGUUGUGGAAGCGGGUGCUUUCUAUCUGAUCAAGUAGAAGUUGUCUAUUUUGUAGACAUAUAGGAGAAGAAAUGCUUAGCAUCUAUGGCUACGUCGCCUAUGUGCAGUAAAAAGAAUCCCUCCUUCAAGUUGGUAUGACUUGGUUCUGAUGCUCUAGAUGUCCUAUGAUGAGAAAGAUCAGUUCUGUAGACAAUGAGUAAGAACAAGAAAAUCCUGCUAUUGCUAUAUAGUCUAGUUGACAGCCAAUAUUGAUAAGAGUUUGACGGGGACAAUUCUGCCUGAAGGACUCACCCUCUCUGGUCAAGCAGUGUAGAACAACCAAUAGUUGAAUAUCUUCCCAAGAGGCAGUAGUUUCAAGUCAAGCACUGAACAAAGAAGAGUGUUUCAGAUGGCUAUCCUCUUUUCUCUAGUAGUAGAAGUUGACUUCCCCAUGAGUUUACGCUUUGACUGUCUCAGUCGGCUGGAGUCAAUAAAGUGGUUCUUCUUCAUUAUUCAGAAUUGAGUUAGGUUCACGGAGUUUCGUAGAGUACUUUGUCAUUGACUUUCUUCUACAAUGAAUUCCCAAGCGCCAAGCUCCAAAACUUAUUUACCCUUCUCCUUCCUGAUAGUAGUAGAAUGACUCAAGGCUCAAGAAGAUUGACCCUAGCGCAGAUGUACCCGAUUCACUACUCUAUUUGUAAGACACUUGCUUUUGAUUUGCUUGAUUUCCUGUGCAUAUUCCUUUAACCGAGCAAGAGUAUGCGCGUGGGCGCAACGGCUUUCGCGCUAGUUGCUCAAUCCGUUGCUUGUUUGGAACAAGAGUUUUCAUAAAAAGAAUGGUUCUUUUAUGCAAUUAUGAACGGGCAGGCCUCUUGUGGAUUCCUCCAACUCCAUGAAUGAAGGGGGGAGUAUGAGGAAGGCCGAUUUUCUUUCUAUAUGAAGAUGAAAAAAGGAUCAGGGUCAAACAUUUCUUACUUUUGUUGAGUAUGACUGAAUGAGGAAGAGCUCCUUAUGUGGUAUCACUUUACCACCAUCUGAAAUGCGCGAAACUCCGAUUGGUGGAAGCCAGUCCAUGAAGAUUCUCCCUUCUCUUACGUGAAAUUCCCCUCUUUCGGUAAGCAUCCAGUAUCUCAUCAAAUGAACAUUUCUCUAAGCUUAUCCUGUAGCUUAUACGUCGUUUGAAAGCUGCUCCAAGGAUCCAACGAAUAGCUAAGGUUUGUUGACGAUCCCUGGCUACAAUCCCAGGAACAUCAUAAAUAGUACCUGCGACUCCUACUUUGACCACUUCGCAUAUUGGCUUUAUAUUAUCUACGGCGUCAACCAUAAGUUUGAUUACAUCGCGUUCAGUUCGAGCUAGGCGGUGAAAAGUUUGAUAAACAAUAGCACGAACUCUCGUUCUUUUACCAUCGAUCAUGCGAAAGUUUACCAAUUUCUUGAUCAAUUCUUUUUGCUCACCAUCAAAGUCACCCAUAUAGCUGAGAAUUUCCGAGCAAUUGGAAGCCGCUUUCGAUGACGAGGCCGACAAAUUGAUAUUACGCGUUCGUUACUGUCCAUCUUUUGAAGCUCUGCUCACGAAAGAAAGGGAGACUUUGUAGGGGUGGGCGUUGGUCUUUCCAACGAACAUGAAAUGAGAAAACCAAUAAAAUGGAAGAGAAAGCCAAAUUACAAACCUAAUUAAGAAAGAGUACACCAACGGAAAUAUACUAUACUACGGGGAACAUUUCUGAAUGGAAUUCGUUCUCUUUCCAUUCUAUUAAACCCAGCUUUAUCUAGGCUGUUUGCUUACGUAAGCCCCUGGAUUUGGUUCUCUACAAAUUGAUUCGUUCUUGGGAGAGAUAGGAUUCGAACCUACGAAGAAGAAUACCUUCAACAGAUUUACACUCUGUCACUUUUAACCUCUCUAUCACUCUCCCUGGGAUACACCCUCCUCAUUCUAGUCCACCGAGUGAUACCACGAAUAGUACCCUUUUCCUCCUCAUUCUAGUCCUCGCUCUGCCCCGAAUAGUAGGGGAUUGGGUUUCAGAAGUACUUGACCAAUCUUUCUAGCUCCAUUGCGAAACCACGCCCAAAAGUCAGAUGCGAACCAAUACCAAUCAAUCACAAAAGCAGUGCUUGUUCUUGGAAUAGCAUACUCCGACUCGCAUAUCUAGCAAAUGAACAAACUGUUAUCCCCAUCGCCAAGCAUUUCUUUUCAUGCAUUGUUCGAUUCCCACUGCUCCUUGGUCUGUGGCUAGUGCUUUUCUUUUCGCUAAUCACCCAACUCUCAGGCCAGUCAGAAGGGCAUUGAUGGAACACAGACCGGUAAGCUCUUCGAUUAAUGCCGUCCGAACUAUUGCUUGAUAGGACUUCCUAUUCUUAACCUGGGCCUGGGCGUGGUACUAUUCCUUCCUUCCUUCAAGAUUGGACCCUGCGGUGCGGAUAUCUCUACUAUGGCUACUAUGGCAGAGAACCGCGUAUAGAAAGAAGAAGAACAAGCUAGGUCAAGAUGUAUUUGAUUUGGAUAGAAUAGAAAGCGAAUUCCCUGGCCAUUAAGCGAAUAUCUCCCUUACCAUUAAGCUAAUAUCUCUCUUACCAUUAAGCAUAGCUCCAUGCUCUUCAAGUCAUGUAUCACUCCUUUCUUCUUCCCAGCUAGCUCUCUUCCUCCAACGAGUUAUCUUCCUAACCUGCUUUCUAUCUGAGGGUUGUUUCUACACACUGAUCCGCGUAUCCGACCUGGCCCUGCGGGGCUAGGGAUUGCUUUUCCUACCUGGUUCCUAACCACCUUAUCCUUGAUUGACGCGUUGCCAAUGAGAAAGAAAGGACAAGAUUCCAGCUUCUUUGCCAAUGCGAAUAUCAACAACCAGAUCUUUGAGAAUCUCAAGCAGCAGAUUUCUUUAUUCCUCUAUUCUCCGUUCCUGAUACCCAUUAAGGGCAUCACUCACUGAAAAGAGAAGAAAGGACCAUGCAUGCUUACCUCCCUCUAUUAUCAGGACAGGAUAAGAGCAACCCUACCUAUUGUAUAUUAGAAGAGCAUGCCUGCCUACCUAUUGUAUAUUCGUCCUCGGCUCUACCAGUGAUCUUUGCUACCUAUUCUUUUCUCUUAAUAGAGAAUGUGAUAGAUAGGCGAGGAAAUGGUGGUUGUCUCCUAAAUUAAUCGUAUAAAACACACAAGGGAAACUCAUCUGCUUGUAAAUUGAGUUGUGUAAAAUAUCUGCUUGUAAAUUCAUUGUGUAAAAUAACUCGUAAAUUCAUUGUGCCAGAAUUGAUCACUGAUCAGGUGUGAUCAGUCUCAUCCGUCUAAGAGACUGAUCCGGUGCGAUGAGUCUAUUCCGUGUAAUAUUUUGGAAUUCCUCUUCCAACUCGUCCCGGAAUGGGCGUUAUGGCAAAGAACAAGAAGAAAAAGAAAGAAGAAAUUUGUCCAAUAGUAACAAAUGGUGCCUCCACAGGUUGACAUCCGAUCCAACCUAGUAGUAAGCAAUCCGCCAAAAGCAACCAAAAUAUUCCUUGGUGAAUCGGUCGAAAACUUGAACUACGCACAUACAUUUCUUUAAAAAAAGGUAAAGCCAAGAGAGAUAUAAAAACUGGUGCUAUUGCGGCUACACCUCCCGCUUUGUCAGGUAUACUGCGAAGAAUGGCAUGGAUCGGUAGGAAAUACCAUUCCGGCACAAUAUGAGGCGGGGUGGGCAUCGGAUUAGCAGGUAUAUAAUUGUCGGGAUGCCCCAAAACAUUUGGAGCAAAAAAAAUCCAAAUGGAAAAAAAGAUAGCAGAAGCUACCCGACCUACAAGAUCCUUUACAUAAAAAUAAGGGUAAGAAGCAAUUUUAUCCAUCUCAGAAUGUACACCCAAUGGAUUAUUUGAUCCAUAUUGAUGCAAUGCAGCCAGAUGAAGAAGACUGGCGCCUGCUAAAAUAAGGGGGAGUAAAUGAUGGAGACUAAAAAAACGAUUUAAGGUGGCAUUGUCCACGGAGAAACCACCCCAAAGCCAAGUCACUAUGGUAUCUCCUACUACUGGUAUGGCGCUAGCUAAGCUUGUAAUUACUGUUGCUCCCCAAAAGCUCAUCUGACCCCAAGGUGGUACGUAUCCUAUAAAAGCUGUCACAAUCAUUAAUAGGAAUAUGACAACUCCGAGACACCAAACAAAUUCCCUAGGACUGCUAUAACUCGCAUGAUAUAGACCACGAAAAAUAUGAAGGUGAACCACAAUGAGAAACAUACUUGCCCCAUUAGCAUGCAUAUAACGGAGCAACCAGCCCCCUUCAACAUCUCUCAUAAUGUGUUCUACGCUGUUGAAAGCUAGAUCCACAUGAGGUGUGUAAUGCAUAGCUAAAAAAACGCCAGUCACUAUCUGAAUGACUAAACAAAUACCAGCUAACGAACCGAACCCCCACCAAUAACUAAGAUUGCUCGGGGUUGGAUAAUCUAUUAAAUGCUGGUUAAGUGUGGAGUAUAUAGGUUGUUUAAGAAGAGAGAAUCGUUGGUUCCUUAUAGUCAUUUCUCUUUUCUAUCGUGACAACUCCUCUUCCCCCUUAUUUUAUUUACCCCCUUGCCUUGAUGGAAAUUGGCUUCGCAGCGCCCUGAAUAAGAAAAAAGCUGCAUGAGAAGAUUCAUCCCAUUUUGGUUUGGCGAGAGGGAGGCAGCGAAUCACCUGGGCUACGGAUUUGUUGGUUAGUUGAUUCUCGAAAUCAGGUCAUUCGGAAAAAAAAACUGCCGCUUUCUCUGCCGGUUUCUUAAGGCUUCAAACGAACGACUAGUCAUGUUGAUGAUGAAAUCAAAGUCUAUUUUUUACCUUUCAUGAAGAAGCCUGCGUGCAAACUACCUAGCCCUUUUCAAAAGAACGUCGAUUUCCAUCUCAACAAAGAAAGAACUAAAAAUAAAUGAAAGCAAGAUUGCUUGUUGUCCUAUUACUCUUUUUGUCAGCCUUGUGGAGCUUUGGAAAGGAGAGAAUUUGAAUAAAGUAACUCUCCUCUUAUUGGACGAGAGAGAGUCAAUAUGAUAUUGGGCGUGGGUUUUUCCAACGAAACGACGAGUGAGAAAGAUAAAGAACGCGACGUGGUUCAUUGAAGUAGAGGUUUGAUCGAGGAUUGGGUGUCCUACGCUACUUCCGUUCAUGUUCCAAAAAAAUAGAAAAGAAAAGACCUUGGAAAAACCAACGAAACGCAGAAGUUUAGGAUUGUCUUUUUCAUGCGGAACCCUCUCCGUAUUAGUAAGCGGGCCCUCCUUUACGCGAUCGUUACUGUCCAUCUUUUGAAGCUCUGCUCCCGAAAAGAGAAAGGAGACUGAACACAUUUCUAUACCCGAAAUAGGGACGAUCAAUUCAAUUUAAGUAUACGCAUACCUUUUCCCACGAUUCAGGAAUAGCCAUAGAGGACUACGUUUUAUAGACGUACGAAUCCUACGAUACGCGCAAAAGCUAUGAAACCAUUAGGAAGGGCACAGCAGCCCCAUUUGAUUCGGCCGGCUCCUUCUUUUACCUUGAAAAACAGAUAGGAACGGCAAAUCCUUGUUGAAGAAGAGAGGUGAGCAAGAGUGAAGAGUAGAGCGCGCAUGGGAAGUGCGGUCGCUAUGAACGAAGUGGGAUUAGAUAUGGAUCUUCGAAAUAAGAGUCUUUCUACUUUCUAUAAGUGAAUUAUUGAUCAAGAGAAUGGAAAGAACCCCAUGUAUAUGUGAAACUAUGCUCUUAGAACACCUUCUUCCAUGCUAUUGAAGCAGGCGAACAGGCGAGUGAGUGAAGAGAGAAGCCAUGCCUCUUUCGAGGUGAGGCAAGCGAUGAACGAGUAGAUGCUGCCCUUAGACCUAUUCUCUCUUUCGGUAGCAGACACCGUGAUGGGCUAGGCUAGGAAACCUUAUUCGAUACGAUAGGACAGGUAAACAAAGCAAGGCCUGGGUCGAGAGCCAAUUUCAUAUUCUCCGGUUCCAUUCCUGAUCGAACUCCCUUCCUGUCAUCGUAUCUUGUGUAAGAAUCGCUUUCAGGCUUCUUAUCGCUUUCUCAUCAGUGGCAGUUUUGUCUCCCGUCCCUACCGAUAGUAACUGAUCAACUUACUGUUGGAGUUCUUAAGCAUAUCUUUUUCCAUUAUUAGUUCUAUCUUCCGAGUGGACUAAGGCAUCAAUCUGAACUAUAAGCCCUAUCGCUUGGGAAUAAAUGCUUCCCUAGCAGCUUGCCGGAGAAAAACGAAGCCUUAGAAAUUGUAAAUGAAUCCCUAAAAGCGGAUAAAGGCUUAAACCUAUUCAUCUAUCCUAUCCCUCGCUUGACUCUUCUCGGAAAAGGUUCUCGUUCCCAUGAAUCUUGAUCUGCCUCCUGGCAUUGAUAGCGAUUGAUCGAAUUCCUACUCUGGUUUGAGAAGCUUUUCCGUUUUCCUUAUCUCUCGUGCCUUUGAACUGUCCUGACUGAAAAGAAUUCAAAAUACGUAUAUUUAAAAUAAACCGCCUUCGCUGGCUAAUCCCUAUGUCUUGGUACUCUACCCUCCCAUUCAUAAGAGAGUGGUAGUUGUCACCGGAAGCAGGUGUGAGUUGAGUAAGUCUUGUCAACAACGCUUCGCACAACUAAAUACUAACACACUGUUGACUUCUGUACUUCUCCACCGCCAAAACACAAUGACUUAUGCAAUUCAUACAGGCACGAGCGAAAAACGAGCUGAACGAGUGAUCAGGUGCUUCGACCUCUCUUUCUACGGUUGGUUUCUGACAUCGAUCGAGAUUCAACAUUCAGUAGGUUUGCUUUGACGAGUUAAAGGUGGAAGCUUCGAAGCAUCAGUGAAGAGAGUGACCCGGAGCCCAUCCUUCCUGUACGCAUUUCUUCCUUAUUUUGAAAAGCAGCACGGGGACUUCAUCUGCCCAUGAUUGAUUCCCUCACGAGGGCUAUGAUUUAUAUAAAAAAAAAGGAUUUAUAUAAUCCUGACGUCUACACAGAAAGGAAAGGGGUGAACUCCUUCCAUCUUGGGUUUAGUUGCCCUGCCUGCUUUGUCUCAACGAAAGCUUUUUUGUAUGGAAAAGGAAAGGCUCUUAGCCACCGGUAACCGGCUCAAUGAUCCCCUUUGGGCAGCUAUUUCUCUGCUGCAAAUGAAGAAGAAUCUGGAAUCGCUUGACCAAUCGACAAGUUCUCUUCUUUAUCUACGACCAAAGUAAAGUGAGGAUCCCAUCUAGAAAAAGCCUGCUUUUCAAAAGCAAAUCCUCCGUCUGAGUGUAAGACCACCAGGCUGAAGCAGAAGUGUGCUAGAGCCGGUGCUUGUCGAACUACUUGCACGUCGGGAACAUCCGUUGUAGCGGCGCAUACCUUUGGAGUGGGGAAGGAGAUGGUAUGGAACCUCAAUUUCUUCAUUCAAGGAAAUGGGGAAGGACCAAGGACGGUGCACACUCUUCACCGAUAGCCGCCAAAGUGCCCUAUGUCUCGCGAAGAACCCGGGUGGAAGUGAAUUCUUCAGCUGAGUUGAGUGCCGCAUGCUUUCAGGUAAGCAGUCAAGCUCAAAACCAUCCGGACGAUUCUCGGUAUAGUAGCGGCCGAGGACUUGCAUCUAUUUCAACUAGACGUGAAUACGGUCUUUCUCCACGGCAACAACGAGGAGGAGGAGAUCUACAUGGUGCAACCCGAGGGGUUCUCGGGGAAAAGAAGGUCACAUAUGGUUGUUGAAGAAGAGCUUGUAUGGGCUCCGAGGCAGUGGUCAAAGAAAUUCGACAAGUUCAUGGUCGAUCGAUACCUUUCCAUCCCUGUUGUGGGGGCAGAUGAGCCUCCCUCUGUUCUUGCAGCUGCCUUAGGAGGUCUUUAGCAAGUCGGACUCUUCUGGUUAACAUGUAUUCACGAUUCGCCAAAGCCGGAAGCUCGGGUAAGUAGGGAUCCCCAAAGGAGGUGGGGGUGUAGACGGCCCCUUUUUUUAAGUGGGGUUCAAACCUAUUUUCUCUUCCAAUUCCAUGUAGGUAGGCUACCCUCUAACCUUUACUUUUUUAUGUUAAAAAGGUCCUAGCUUUCUAAGAAAAAAAGUAGGAUCAUAUACCGGCAAAAGUCCUAAUCUCGCUACGUCCUCAGUAGGCCGAUCCUGGAAAUGAAAAAAAGAAGCUUUAACUGGUUAAGUCACUGGUGCCAGCGAAUAGGCGGCAAAUAAAGUAGGAGUUGGAAAAGAAAACCAAGUUACUAGGUUUCUCCACGGAAAGAAGAAAAAGCGGCUGCUCACAAGGAGGUAGGCGGAGUAAAAAGCUUAUUUCUCUUGGCAAAAUCUAUGAACCUUCCCUGGGCAGGUAUUGAAUGGGUAGGGCACUGGUAAAGGUCUUGAAUUCCUUUCUUUUCUUACGGAUAUGACUCAAAGUUGGAGGGCCAACCUAUCCCUCUAAGUACUAUACAGACAGAUUUGGAAUCAACUCAUUAUUUAUAUUAAACAGCCAAGCAAGCCAAAGCUAGCAAAGGAUGAUAUAAUUACCCGUUAGCCAUCCUGGCAUCUGUCCGGAACUCAACCUGGUGGAGGCCACCGCGAAGAUCUUUAAUCAAUAGAAAGGGUAUCCUGCUGGUUAAAUCAAGAGUGAAGGUUCUUGGAUUUGUCCGAAAGGUUGAUUUCAGUAAACCCGAAUGAAAUGCACCACCUCAUCAUCAGGGAGAAAAGAAGCUAGACAGAUUGUGCAAAGUGUCAACUGAUUGGAAUUCAGCGCAUGGCGAAAGGUAAGGGGUUGAGACCUACGCUCAAUGUGAGUCUGUCUUGACUGGUUGGAUAGAAAAAAGAGUUCUUGAUGAGUGGCCUUACUAGGAGGAAACCGUUAUGAUACUGACCCUCAUGCCUUAUUGAGCAUCUUAUCCCAUCUUAAAGUUGGUUUAUUCGGCAGCAGCAAAUGCUAUUCAUUAUAGGGAUUUCGACAAAGCGAGCUCUUCAAUCAAAAUAUCCCUUCCCUCACCAAACACUCACCGUAGGAAGGGGGUAUUUCAUUCAACAAAUGGAACAGGUGCAAAAGGAAGUAGAUCUUGUCUUACGGAAGACUCCCUGGAUCGCUUGUAGCUAUCCCACUCUCCCUUCCUCAUUGAGUCACUGGCUGGUCUUGAUUGCCCAAGACCCCUGCAAGAAUAACUAGUAAAAGCGGUCUGUCCUCCAAUUCAUCGAUUCACUGCCCCUACACCAAAGGUUCCUAGAAUGUAUUGAAUCAUACCGAGCUUUUUUCGGUCAACACAAGAAAGAACAAUCUAGAAGCGCAAUGGAGGCUGAAGAUUCGAGAGAGAGUGAAUUGAUCAUGGUACGAAGCUAGGCCCACUGCUAGAUUCUUGGUGGUUGACCACAUGCUCCCCUUUUAGAGUGUUCUCUGGAGCCCUCUAUUGGGAUGGUGACGGUCUUUGCUAUACCAAAUCCUCUGUUUUUGUCCAGAGUCCGCCAGGAAAUAAUAUUUCAUCUGCAACAUAAGUUUGAAGUCGUCUUCUACCCGUAAAAGAGAUAAUUUCUGUACAUGAGUUAGCUUUACAAAUACAUACAUGUGCAGAACAAUAUCUGUAAUUUCAAAAAUCACAACCGUCAAGAUCGCAGUUCACAAAGCACACCAACUAUAUGUGACCCUAUACAGACCAAUGAAUACAAGGAAUAAGAUAAGCCCCUGGCCCGACUACUACUACUGUAUUCCUCUCCACUCUCCUCGUCAGUUCGAGCCCGGCUCGCAACAAGGCCUUUGGUCAUAUCAUAUCUCGGCGCCUCCCUUGACAUGUUAUAAUGCAUCUAUAAUUUAAAGAUUAGUGUCCCUGGUCCACCUGAAUUCCAUUGUGUGAUCAGAAUACGCAAGCUAGAACGUUGUUGAAGCAAACAUAUAGGUAGAGGUAGCUUAAUCACUAAAUCAAAGAAGCCAAGGUAUCGAAGGAACAUAAGGUUUCCAAUGCUACUAGGUAACUCCAAAAGGUUCCAAUUUCCAUUUCCUAAAUCGUUUGUUUGGAGGUUGUAAAGAAGAUAAGUUGACUCAGGCUAUUUCUUCAGCUUAGAACUAUAAACUUUUAGGUACCUUUUGUGCUUUAACAUGUGAAUAGCAUCCGGCAAGCAAUAUUCGUCUCUUCCAGUGCUAGAACAUGCAAGCAAACCUUCUUUGAAUACGAAAGAAUGCUUGUUUUAAGGCAAUGCGAGAGCUUACCAGAGAACAAAGGAGAGUAAUGAGUUGAUAGAUAGGAGGCAGGCCCAAUGAUAUUCAAUAAAGGAUAGACCGAAUUCCGUCCGUAUAAACAUAAUUUUGAUUUUCUUGUAAAGUAUUUCUUUUAUUUUAGAGGAGUCUCUAAAGAAUAUUCAUCAUCAUCUCUAAAGAUAAAGGUGAGUUCCAGCAGAAUGUCUAUUGAACAAGAGCACUGCUAACUUCGAAAUAAGAUAAAUGCUUUCAACUUGCAUGCAUGUCUUUAGCCCAUCGCUACCGCUCUCUAUCCUUCCAACAUUAGCUGACACAUGAGUAUCUAUAGUUCAUCCUGACCCUUCGCUACCGCUUUCCUUUAACAAGCUACUCCGCCUUGCCAACGCUUGCCUUACCGCUUGCCAGCAAAUAAGGUUAUUUUCUUUUUAGUAUUUGCUAUUAAAAAAUCCAUGAAUUCGGUCCAAACAAGCAACGGAUUGAGCAACUAGCGCGAAAGCCGUUGCGCUAACGCGCAUCCUCUUGCUGGGAUGGUUUGAGACAAAGAUUUUACAUAGAUAAUGCUUUCUCGCUACCCGCCCGCAAUGGUUCACUGAUCAAUACUUCACAAAGUCAUCAACAUGUGAUACGACAAAACUAGAAAUCAAAUCGUUUGUGGCUGAUCUCUCCAUCUACUUACUUCUAUUGGACCCAUAGGACCAGCGCUCACAACAAAUCCAAUAAGAUAAGAUCUAAUAAUGAAACCCGGGAACACUAAUUCAAAAACAAAGCGAUAGCAAUGUUUAUAGAAAAAGCAAAACAACACUCAAGAGAAACUCCACCUAGAACGUACCAGUCAGCACUUCGUUAUUGUCGACCGCGCGGAUCAUCAUAAGCAACAAAGUAGCAAAUACGCGUCGGUAUCACAUAAAGAGGAUUUUCGACAGGCUCCACAAGAACAUUCGUUCCUAGGUGCAUGACUUGGAGGGGAGCUCCUUCUUGCUAAGAGUGCCAGUGGAUUCUCCUCCUAUUCCUCGACUCUUUAUUAAGGAGACAGACCGCUCGCUUCUGAUAAAAGAUCGGCUAUUCCCCUAAGAAAGCAAAGGGGUAUUCUUCCUUCAUAGAUUCCCGAUGCCGAGCUACUCUUGAUAGGCUUUCCAAGACCAAGUUUAUAGAAUGAUCCCUUGCACAUUGAGCAAGACAGUGUAUUCUUUAGGUUGGAGUAAGAUCAAUGGAGCCGAAAGUAAAGCAUCGGUAGUGAGGCUUUCCUCCAUGAGGAAUUAAUCCUUUGGUCGUCAAUGGUUUAAGACGAGAGCCAAUGUGUCCAAACUUCCGGCUGAAUUGUUGCUUUCUAGUGGCCGACCAUCCUUUCCAGACCUUCUCUAGAGCUCUUCAAUCCUUCCUCCUAAGAUCCAGGCUAACUUUUUCAAGCAAUGGAAUGACUGGUAGGCGAUCUCAGGCUCGCUCGUCGUUGGGUAGUUUCCGAUAGUUCUAUCACCAUUCCAGGCUCUUCGCAUAUAGAGAACUCGAAGGUGGUCGAUGUAAUAGAGCAGGCCUGAGGCCAUUACGUACUUUCUUUGUUUAAGUUAUUAUUGAGAGGGUCUUUCAAUGAUAGCUAUACACAAUGAGCGCUGUUUUCUACAUGCGAGAUGAAAUGCCAUUCAAGAGCGGAUAAGGCUAAAAAGAGAAAAAGCAGGGCUUGGCUUAUUCUAUUCAUCUGCACCACCUGACAGAGAUUCUUUCACAGCCUCGUUCAGCUAGUAGAAUUCUUUCUAGAUCUCGUUCUUUUCACUUUCUGGGCUGAGACCGUCCAAUUUCAUUCUUGCCUGGGAAGAGAGGAUCGGAACUCACACUCGAUCCCUACUCUUUCCUCGUACUUCACAGGUUUUCGAGGCCGAGGGUGAACUGGACUCGCAUUCACUUGCUGGGAAAAAGAGAGUGGAUCAGGCUACGACUGAGGCUGAGGAUAGGUCACAGGACGGAUGAGGUAAAGUAUUCCAAAACGGAGGAUUCCAACCCGAGGAAGUAGGUCAACCACCUUGAAUAUGGCUCCGCGGAAGUAGUUAGGGGAUAAGCCCAAGGAGGAUAGGCCUAUGGGAUUUCCACAAUGAGUCCUAGUACCAGGUAGGUUAAGGCGUAAUAAGUAAAAGAGGUCUUAGCGGAACUCGAUAGGCCAAAAAGGAGGGAUGUGACUCAUCAAAGGAAGUUGCCGACUCGGGUAGGUAAGCAAGAAAGUAGACUCCUUCAUCGGCCAGGGUACUCCUGAAAUCUAUCUCAGUAGGGAAAAGAGGAGUUAUGGUAUAGAGAAUUCUGACCUAAAUGGAUGCAUGGGUCUUUGUCCCUAAGAAAUGCAUCCUUACGAAUACAAGAGUGGUUUUUUUGGGUAUAGCAGGACUUGAACCUGCGACCAUUAGGUUAAAAGCCCAAUGCUCUACCAACUGAGCUAUACACCCGAUUUUACAAGAAGGCUUGGUGCGGAAAAGAAAAGAGGGUGGCCUGGCCCCUUUUCUUCUUAUCAUAUCACAAGGGCGCGGCUCUGUAUGGGGCUCGUACUGCGGAGCAAGUCUGGGAGUCCUUUCCACUCAUUGAGGAUUCUAUCUAAAAAAGAAGGUCAACGGGGGAGACUACAGUAGCUCGAACUCAGACUAUCUACGAAAAAGCUAAAACUCCCUUGUCUUCAACUAUGAACUUACAUCUAUCGAUAACACGGGCUUCUUAGGUCAAUCACAUCCCCAGGAACUUCUAACUGGCCUAGCAAGGACCAACUUGAUAAAUUGAUUCGAUUUAACGAGAGGCUCGGAGAUGGUAUACGUAGAAUAGGGGAAAGUAAAGACAAACUUCGGUCAAUUUACGUUUUCAAAACUACAGCUAUCUUGCCUAGAGUCCCAGAGCUUAACGGAACUCUUGUUUACUAUAAGAGAAGAGCCCACCGCUUUAUAAGUGCUUUCCUCUCUCUUUCUUUCGAACCAUAAACUCCGAAGCGGUUUCACUUUACCAUACUGGAGAAGGGCUUCACUCGCGCCUUGGGGACAGAACUAGAGUACAAAACUAGCUUCCUCUGUACAUAUUGUUUUCGGGUAAUAAUACUAUCAUUGAGAAAGAAUAGAUAACGACUAUCAGGCAUAUGACUGAUUUCUAUAUGGGUGUAGGCUCAUACUCUCAUUUUAUCCUUGCUCGCUGUUCCCGACAGGAAUACGUCACUUAAAAUAAGCUAUUGACGUCUUAGUUCCGACCUUGUCUCCUUUCUUUUGUUCACCGGUGCAAGGCAAGGGCGGAGCUCUCUUAUGUUCAUCUUCCACGCCUGUCUGCAUCCCAAGCACUAAAUGAGUGAAAUCCAAUCCCGGAAAAAGGCUCUCUUGCAUCUUUUGCUUCCCCACCCGGCCUCUAUUCUAGAUUCACCGUCUUCGGAUGCAUCAGUUUAUUAUGCUUAUGCCUAAUCUUAAUACUGGCUAGUUACUUCAAUUACCUUACCCCACAGCCCCUCCUUUUAAGGAGGUUUCAGAGCACCCAGUCACAGCUCGUCACAAGAAAGGAUUGAUGGUCGAGUCCCCGUGCAUGAAGUCAGUGGAUUCGAGUGAACUGACCGUACUACAAAUCGACAUACUUGAGGAAGCUUCUUACUAAACCAAAGAAAGGGCAGCUCCAGUUGUCGAUUCCCUUCUCCCGAGAGCUUUCACACUCUGGGAUGGGAGUCCCUUCCAAGACUUGACCAAAAGCUUAUCUCUUUCAUCUCAAUUUAACAUUUUCCGAAACGCGGCUAGACCGAGGCAGAGCAAGAGUGCAGCUUCAACCGAUCCCCGGCGACAUCUUUUAGGCCGAUGUUGGGCGUAUCAGCUAUCUCACCUGGAGAGUGAGGAAAGAAAACGGUCUCGAUAGCGGAUAAAGCUCUUCCGGUUUAAUAAGUUUCUCUUGGACCGUGCGUUCCGCCAACAGACGAGACGUGAGGAGAAAUGGAGACUUCUCCCCAUAUCUGGUCUAAUCCAUACUUUUCUUUAAAGUCUCUAGUGGGUGCGAGCGGCUCCCGCACCGGGUCGGGUCUGUAGUCUGUCGUUUUGACCAAAAGAUGAAGUUUGGUUAAGUCCUCCAAAUGAGUCCAUUCGCCUCGUUCACAUAGGUCCUUUCCACGAGGGCCAAAGUGAACCCAAAGUCUUGUGUAGGCUUUUUUGUUUAUAUCCAUGUGGCCAAAACAAGAUAUUUAGCAGGGAUACAGACGACGCGAUUCCUGCUUUCAUAGUUUGAUCAGGUAGCUGAAGUCGUGGUGCUGAUCGCGUGGUUUGCCUCCUCUCUCGCGGCCGUGUGUUGGUCAGCGUGGUAUGGAGUAGCGGUUCCUCGGUAGUCUGACUGUUUCGAUGCAGCAUCUCUAUCUUUCGUCCCGGGCAGGCCUUUUCUAAAAAGUCUUGUGCUCAGGUGCCCGUUUUAGAGUAGUUCGUGCGUUGGGUAAGGUUUCCGUUCGAGACCAUGAAAAUGAGAUAUUUUAUUAGAUAGAGCCGAUGAAUCAAAAGAAAAGCAAGCCUCUUUUUCCUGUACGUACCGGUACUAUAUCCUUUCUUCUUCCUUCUGCAUAUGAUAAAAACUUCAUCUAUUGGAGUGCCCGGUGAAUAUGUCUAGUCGAAGUUUCCUUCCAUAGUCAUGCCUUUUUUCCUAGGUUUUUUUCAGCUAGGCCCGCUUUUUGUCACUAGUAAAGCAUAUUCUCUUUCCAGUUUAGAUGUUUCAUCCCCUAUUUGUAGUUUCUUUCCAUGUGGGUGCAGGCGAUCCAGUGGUAGUCUCUGACUCCCUCUUGGAGUUUCUGUUGGAGUUGCUCAACCAUUUCUUGUCUCUUUCUCUUCCCUUAAUUAGGACUACUCUCCUUUUUUCUUCUAUAUGGAGGGACUAUAAUAGCAUUUAUGAACCUUUCGUAAUUCCUCUUGCAAUCCCAAAUAGAGACUUGUUUUUUUUUAAUGGGAAUAGGCUCCGAACAUUGCAUCGCCAAGAGUCUGAAUCGAGCAAUGAACUCCUGGGCUUUCUCUGUCGGUUCCUGGAUGCAUUUCCUCAACUCGUCAGUAGUGACUGACUUCUUUCUUUAGAAGGUCGGAAUCCGCCUGAAUAAAUCGCACAUAUGCUCCCAGGACUUCACGGAAUUAGGAGGCACAGAGGUAGGUAUACCAAGAGAAAGCUAUGUGGGUAAGCGACGAGGGUUAAACCUAAAUAACAAGUUUGAGUUUCCAGAAGUAUCUCCACGCUGAGCGAUGAACCUCGCCAAAUGCUCUUUUGGUCCAUCUUUUAGGUGAAAUUUGGGCAAUAUGUAUCCCGCUGGGUAUGGCUCGUAGUCAAUCUCUGGAGGAUAUGGAGGAUCAUAGGCUAGGUAACCUUUUCACUAUUCAUUUAUAAAGCUUCAAGUAACCAGGUCUCUUCAUCCUUAUUGGGCACUCCCACAAGAGACAAUUCUUUUUAGCCUCUAAGAGACAACAAGAAGAGCCUAACCAGGACCUUGAGAUAACAGCCCAUAGGGUAGCCCCUACAGAGCAAAAAUCUAAGGCCGGAAUACCGGAGUUCUUUCUUUGCUUCCAAGAACAUAGAUUCCUUCUUCAACCCAGGUCAUGACCGAGGGCGGGUAUCUCACUCGCAUAUCUAGAGCCCAGCAUCUCUCCUGAACGACACCUUCCGCAGACUCUACUGGUGGUAUUUCCCGAGGCGAGGGUAAAUAUGUGCAUCCAUAUCGGUCAGGAAACGACAAUGACUCUUCUUCUUCCGGGAAGCUAUGGGCACCUCACAAUUCUUAGACGACAUUAGUGGAAGCGAACAUUCGUAGCAUUCAUUGUCACCGAUCAUUGAAAAAAGAAGCCGUACGAAAACUUAAGGAAUCUUUAGAUUUGGCGGCUAUAGACUCAAAGGGCACAGACAGGCUGCUGGUACAGUUUUUUUAGCUAACUAAAGUCCAACUUCCUUUGCCGAAAGAGGAUGAAACGGAUCAGCCGAUUCAACUUAGCAUUACCCGACUCGUAACUUCAAGCACAACCAUCCAUCUCAAUCCAAAAUCUCCGAUCGUCUGUGAUCCCUCCUCCGGUUUUGGAUAUAUAGACAGUGCCUGCUCUCAAACCAACCAAGACAGCAGCAAGUUCCUAUCGAGAACAAGACGACAGAUCAAUAUGACCAAUUUAUCUAAUAUCUCGGGUGAAUACGUGAAAAAGUGUUGCUUAGCUCAGUGAAAUGGAAUAAGGAAGAGAAAGUGUAGUGUGAUAAGGGAAGAUGCAAGUCAAUUUUGAGCAAGCAAGGGCUGAGAUAGAUAUACAAACAAGAAGAAUUCACAUCAGAACCCUUUCCUGCUUCCCUUUUUUACCCAUCGGACUCACAUUUUUAUCUCCUACGCUUGCUUUCACAGUCCCCCUACGAGCAGCCCGGAAUCAAUGAAGGAGUUCAUUCAGCACCGAGCCGAGCGAGCGUAGAUUCAAUAUGUUGAUUGUACCGAACGAAGGAUUUGCCUUAUCACGAAAGCCACAUUCGUUUGAGGAAGUCACACGUCCUGUUCCCUAUAAAUAAGGAGAUUCAUUCUUUUUUUCAGACUCUUCUUCCUCCUCAAGCCCCUAUCACAAGACCAAGCGGAUCUCAUCCUGCAGAAGACUCAGAGCGGAUCUAUCUAAUGGCAUGGCUGGCUGUCGGAUGUGAUCUAUUCUCGUGUCACAUCGCUUUCUUUCUUCUCCCUCCAUUUUCUUCACUACUACCGCUCCUACACAUAAAUCAAAGAAGCAUUGUGGAAUAGUGGCAUUUCGUUAAUGGCGAAAAUGUUCUUAGUGAAAGGGUUGCCUGCGGUCAGAGCGGUCUCUGAAAGUGAAUAGGAGCAUAGCGGUAUCAUCCAAGCCAAACACGUCUCCUCAGUCAAGCUCGCGCAAAGAAGAUCAAAAACAUAACAACUGAUUUCGCUUAAUGCAUGUCACCCACCCGCUCUCAAUACAGCAAGUGACUCUCUCUCACAAGACAGAGAAAGAUUACCGAUUCAUCCAAUUUGAUCAGAAGUGAGUUCAUUGUUGUUGUAUAGCGAAACCUUUCCUUGACAAAACCAUUCUCAGCUAAUAGAAGCCGAGCUAUCUAUCCAGAUCAGGGUUGAACGAAGCGAAUGGAAAAGCCAAAGAAAACAUAAAUCCAUUGCGAUUAGAAACCUGUGACUCUACAGCCAGGGCUCGAUGGCGAUGUAAGAUAGAAAGAAUGGGGAGUUAGGGCUUCGGUUUCCUCUGUGGCCAGUUCCAAUUCCAAAUCAUUUGCCGACAUGCGGACUCACUUCUCUUUUAUGGGAUGAAAGCCCUUGUCUAUUUACGUGGGUGAAUCAAGUACAACAAGUCAGGUCAGAGCUUGUGGUAGAAGAUUGGGCUCUGCUACGCAGAUCCACUCAACUAGGAAAGAAGUACGCAUUGCUGACUGACUGUUUGAACGAUCCUAGUUACUAGUAAGUAGCUAAUCAAGUCAGAGUAGGGUGGCCGAGAAGCUUCUUGCCGGUGCCCCCCAAAGCAAAGCACAGACUCUACUCACCCACGCGUUUUCCACCUACGGAGGGAGAAAUCAUCGAAAUAUCCUCAUCCCCUGAAAGGGAACCCGAAAACAGGACGAGAGUGGAUAGGGUGACUAAGGAGGUAGUAAAAAUUAGUAGUGAAUUUUGGAAAGAGAAGAUUACAAAAAGGCGAGAGCAGCAUAAUCGUUAGUUAGGGGUAAGAGGGGACGGGCCCGUAUAGAAAGUCAAUCCUUCUUUUUCCGAUAUGCCGCUCCGCAAGCAAGGAGUGCCACGCACGAGCGGAGCGAAAACUAAGCAAGGGGAAUUCCGUCAUUCCAUGGAAAGCAUGCGAAAUCCUUUGAUUGUUUAUAGAAUCAAAAUCACUAUAUAGUCUUUCUUGUUCCACUUGCAAGGCAAGGAAAAAGAAAAUGUCAGUUUCGUUAUUACAACCUUAUUUUUUUAUGUCAAAGACAAAAAGCUACGCGCAAAUUCUCAUUGGAUCUCGGUUGUUCUUAACAGCGAUGGCUAUUCAUUUAAGUCUUCGGGUAGCACCACCAGAUCUUCAACAAGGUGGAAAUUCUCGUAUUUCGUAUGUACAUGUUCCUGCGGCUCGGAUGAGUAUAGUUAUUUAUAUCGCGACAGCUAUAAACAGUUCCUUGUUCCCAUUAACAAAACAUCCCCUUUUUCUUCGCUCUUCCGGAACCGGUACAGAAAUUGGUGCUUUUUCUACUUUGUUUACGUUAGUGACUGGGGGGUUUCGGGGAAGGCCUAUGUGGGGUACCUUUCGGGUGUGGGAUGCUCGUUUAACUUCUGUAUUCAUCUUGUUCCUUAUUUACCUGGGUGCACUGCGUUUUCAAAAGCUUCCUGUCGAACCGGCUCCUAUUUCAAUCCGUGCUGGACCGAUCGAUAUACCAAUAAUAAAGUCUCCAGUCAACUGGUGGAAUACAUCGCAUCAACCUGGGAGCAUUAGCCGAUCUGGUACAUCAAUACAUGUUCCUAUGCCCAUUCCAAUCUUGUCUAACUUUGCUAACUUCCCCUUCUCUACCCGUAUCUUGUUCGUUCUGGAAACACGUCUUCCUAUUCCAUCUUUUCCCGAAUCUCCCUUAACGGAAGAAAUAGAAGCUCGAGAAGUAAUACCACUAAAAACCUAGUUCGCUCUCAAAUAAAAACCUAGUUCACUCGCUAAAGCAUCCAUGGCUGAAUGGUGAAAGCGCCCACCAACCUAGAAAGGCUAAAUGGGUAAAAAAGUAGGUUCGAUUCCUGCCGGAUGCACUGCCUCUUAAAGACAGAAACAGAGGAGGGAAAGAAGGUAGUAUAGGGAACUUGCUUUUGGAUUCUUAUCGAAAGUGAAUCCCUCUAACACUUCAGUUAGUGUUUUAUGAGAAAAUCUUUGCAGCCUAGACACAACAAGUGUGAAAAUCUUAGUCACUAGGCAAGAAUGGAAAGAGCUUCUUUACCUGCUUGAGAGGGGAGUCAAACAGAGUCUGAGGAAGCAUAGCUAUAGCAACGUAGUGUUUGAGAAAAGUGUGCCUGGAGUAAUAGGCCUGAGAGCUACCCGCGCAACUAAAAGAGUUAACUUCUAGAAUAACCGGGAAAUUGAUUUUAGUAUAACUCUAAUUGUGGGUGGUUCGUUACUUUUUAAGUGGUAAGCAAGUGAUCCUCACAAUUCGUUUUACCUGACUCUACUCUAAUUGUAAGAUAACUAGAAAUAGGAGAUGAGAAAGUCGAGUAGCAGCACUGAUGGGAACAUUUUUUGAAACUAGAAUGGUUGAUAAUAGGAGACUCGCGUUGUAGGUAAGGCUUUUCAAAAGCCUCGACUUGGCUAACGCCCUUUGGUUUUGAGGAUCAAUUUGCCCGUGCUUGCUGGUGUCAGGGUUGCAGAUAAGUUGUUUCGGUGCCAUUUCCUUUGUUAUGAAUGAAAUUUUGGAGCUCAGUUGAUACCGAAUUUGAAGAUAAGCCCUUCCCUCUCGUGAACACCUUCGUUUAGUAGAUCGGUACGGUUCCAUUCAGAAGAAACUAUUAUACGUGGUCCCGUGGAGUACGAAUAAGGCUUUAAAGUCUUCCUUCAUAUUGUUUGCUAGCUUCCUUCUCCUUGUUUCCUGCCUUUCAUUCUUUAUGAAAUUAUUAUUGAUUUUCUUUGCUGACUGACGUUACACCAAGAAUUUAUUUAAUAGCGUAUAUAUAGCCUGGGCAUCGAUACCAGCCUUCCGUUCGCAUGAUAUUAAGAAAGUGCCUACUACUCAAUUUCGCAUUGGCAAAUCCUUCCACUUGCUAUCUAAUGUAGUAUAUGAAGCCUUUCUUUUCUAUUUCUUCUAUUGGCUGGUCUGGGGGAAGCGGAUCACGCGAAGAUCUAUAGUGUUUAAGUACAUCUUUCUCUUCCUGCAAGCUACUGAGAUAUGCCUCAGCUGCAGGUGCUUUGUAUCUCUGGUCAAGAGUUGGCAAGGGAUACCUUGUCGACCACCUACUUUUGAGCAUAGCUUUUACCAUAUUCCUCCCUCGAUUCGCCAUUCAUUCCUUCACAGCUGAGUCAAUAGCUGUGUCACUGACUGAAUGUAGUUCUUUUUUUUAAAGAACGAGGCCGCUAAGGUCAAGGGACCUGAUCCAGAACAUUGAAUCCAACCAUCAGCAUUCGCAAGAAAGAGAAAGAACUCGGUUCAAAGAAUCGCUUCGGUCUAAAAACGAGUCUUCCGAGAUCAUGUCUAUGUGAAGAGCUUGAACCAAGCGUUCACACGCAUACGCCCUCGUCGUCUGCCCUCUGAAGAUUGGAAAGAAUCCAUCAGCGAGGAAAUAGAGUUGUAGCAGCACCACUAUUUAUUUAUAAAAGUCCCACCCAAGUAAAAGAGUCCGAAGAAAGGCCUUAUAGGAAAGCGUUACCAGGGAUUAGAGUUAGACCACUUAGUAGCACCUUCAGGCUUAUCCAUCCACGCAUGGAAGAUUUAUAGAUCGACGUUCCGGAAUGCUUCAAUUCACUUGGGUAGAAAACAAAUCAAUUCUAAGUUCUUCUCGCUCCAUUCAUCCACUCGCUGGGAAGGCUAUUUUGAUGCCUCACACAGGCAACUCCGCUAGGCGGCUAAGCAGAUAAGACGGGAUUUAACGUUGAGAACGAAUGUAGAUUCCUAUCAUCAAGAAAGUCGGCUACAUCAAUGAAUUACUUUCCCCUAACAUUGCUAUUCUUAACAACCUAAAUCAAAAAACCUCCUUUAAAGAGCAGAAGAAUCCUUCUUAGAUAAAGCAGCCUGAAGAUAAAUAAGAGCAACUCCUUCAAAGAAAAUGAGAAGGGCCUCUUGAAAUGCCUAUAUAUAAAAGAAGGAAACGUUGUAACUACUUACAAGAAUUAGCUGCGUAUGUAGGUGCAUGCAAUAGUCUUUUAGUAAGGAAGAACGACGGGAUUCCUUGGAAAGCUGGUAGUUCAUUUCACUCUGUAUCGAAAGUCCCAGUAUAUUAUAUAUCUGUGUACAUCCAUCAACAAAUCUAACAUUUCUUACAUUGAAAUCGAUAAAGACUAAUAAGAUGCAAAACCAGCAUAACUUGUUCUUUGCGAGUACUGUGGGUAGACCGAGGGAUCGAUCGGCAUUUCACUAACCUUUAGAAUUAAUCAAACGUAUGGCUAACCGAUUCCUAGGUCAUAAUUUAAAGCUUCACUUUUCUAUAGCCUUAUAAUUCUAUCGGGCUAACGGGUUAGGUUACUAUAGAAGGUUUAUAAAAAAGGUACGGUGCAAUCAGUAAACCUCUUACUGAGCUAUUGUAUUGAAGAAUCAAAGUUUUAGAUGGGGGGAAGAGGCCUUUAAAACACUAUAGUUUGAAAAGUAAUAAAAACUUUUCAUACCAACCAACUAGAACCUGUAAACUGACAAGUGUCAAACUUACAUUUUGGAGCAGCUUGGUCUUCAUCACCACGUGAAAGUAUUCUCGUUCCACGAUGAGGCCAAGGAUAAUACGCUGCAAACGCGCCCUCCAUGAUCAUUGCAAGGUUUAGAGCAGUUAAUAAGCCACCAGCAUCCAAAAUAAGUAGCGAAGGAUAUUAAUAUGAUUGCUUAGCACGGCUCACGCACGUUGCUAUACAUCAAAAAAGCUUCUUCGUCUGUCUGUCAGCAGCGUAUACAAAGGCUGCAUGAUAAACCUAUCAUUAUCCAUCUCACGAACCCACCCUUGGGACGAACUCACUCCUGGUUCUCAAGCUUCCUGUUUCUAAAUCGAGGAAACAGAUACCAACCAAGUCGUAGACUUACCACUUGAGUAUGCUCAUACAGCCAAACCUUUUGAUUGCAAACAUUAGUAGUUAAAGCCAUACUGUAAUCACCCACCAACAAUACAGGACGGAAAAAAACAAACUUACUGCAUUUUCUUACCAGCAAAGCAAAAUGCGGCCCAAGCAGCGUAGGCUUGUGAAUCUUCUCAUCCGCCAUAAAGUCUUGCACACACUUACCAAUAGCAUAAACAGAGUUCAACAGGUUGUCACCAACAGACUGCCCCCAUGCAUACUCCCACAACCCUUCAAGAUCACCAACAUAAUCCCAGAAAAACAUUUGAACAACGUACCGGACGAAAGGUAAGUGCGAAGGGCGAAGUUGCGAAGGAAUAGUUGUUACUACUCUUAGUAUAGUACCCACGGUCCAUUUGAUCAUUUGCUGCGGUACCAAAGUUCAAUCGUCAUCUUCAGUUGAAAGAGUACACAUUAUAUUGAGUACCUCCCUAUCUUCGAUCUCUCUUGUAAGAAAUCCUACGCAUCCCUCCCUUGUCAGAAAAUAAAUAGGAAUAUGAGCCUGUAUUCACUCACGCUGCCGGAGUACUUUUUGAGGGUAACGUAGUAAAAAUCCUUUAUUUCUGGGGAUUUGCCUUUUCUUUCAAAAUGAAUUUAUGCUUAGUCUAAAAUUGGUAAAUACCAAAUAAUAAUAAUAUAAAGAUAAUAUAUAUAUUAUUAUUAUUAGAAAUAUGUACCAGUUUCCUGAAACUAACAAAUAGAGUUAUAGCUUUGAUUGACUUACUAGCUUACGGGAAUGCUUUGAAUCUCAACUUACUUUUUUAGAGGGGGGGAUUACUACUGCAUGGAAGGAUGGUAUACUGGAACGCAGGUGUUCUUACUCUUUCUCAGGUACCUGAGAAAAUAGAGUUGGCUGACUAUAACAUGGAAGGCCCCAAGCGUCGCCUUGAAAAUUAUGUGGAAGAGUUCCGGCUUGCUUGCAUUAGGAUCCAUCCCUCCAAGAAACCAUCAAUAUAUGAAGCAUAUGGCUCCUCUUUGAGUUCUAUUUUCUUGGGGAUGUUCGUGGGAUGAUCGCACGAUAUGAGCAUGCGAAUUUCUUCGAAUCUACCAUUGGAGAGAAAAUAAGGGGUUAUGUGGAUGGGGGUAGCCCCGGCUAUUAGAUGCCAGAUUUCGUCUGGGUUCCAGGUGUGACUUGACUUGUAUCCGGUAGGUCAAGGAAGGGGGAUUUGGAGAUUCUUGAAAGAAUGUUUUGGCUUCUUCCUAUUACGCUUCAACACAGAAGAAGAUUGUUAAAAGGUGCUGGAAGGAGGAUAUAUUUUUCCAAUUGUUUCAAUUGCCCAACCUCGGAAUGGCCAAGGUUUAAUGAUUUCAUGUAAUUCUUCCGCUUACAGGUUUUUAAUCGGUCUGUAUCUUUGGCAAGCCUCACAUCCUCGGGCGUAUUUAUUGCAAUCUUUUUCCAUGUUUGGCCAAUAAAACCCAUAUCUGUGUAUCAGCCAUCUCAUUCUUCUGCCCGCUUGAUGUGCUCCAGCGAUUCUUUCAUGGACCUCAGCCAUUACCAAUAAAGCCCCCCUUUACCUUCUCUUUCUAUUCUAUAAAAAGGCGAACAUCUAAUCUAGGCCCGGUCGCCUUUCUAUGAAGGCGAGCAGCCCAGCCCCCUUGUGGAAAUUUUUAGAUUAAGGAAGCCGUAUUUCGCAAUAGCAGCUCCGAGAAGCUGGGCUUAGGGUGCGCCUCCUGCGGUCGUUUCAGUGACUCAAUUGGCUGGCUUCCCUCAGCUCAGACUGGUGUCGCCACCUCUCCCAGGACCGGAAUGAUUAUCCCUGCCCGAUGGGUCUACAUUCAUCCCUGAAUGUCGUCGGGUACUCUUCACUUCCCCGCCAUUCUUGUAACCGUCACCUGUAAUCCGCGCAGGUGUGUCCGCACCCCCUGGAGUGGACGAGAAAGAAAGGAUUUUUUCUCGGAGCAACCCCCCUGGUUCCAGACCCAGGAGUUCACUUUCCCGUAUGAGCAUUCGGUACAUAUAUAAGUCAGUGGAAGAGUAAAAGGGUCACCACUACUGAGGAUCUCCCCCCUUAUCUUAGAAGGGUCGUCUGAGGGUUCGCCGCGGUUCAUUGCUGUGCUUACACACUAGGCUACCCUUCUCCGAAAGCUCCGCGAGACCACCUAUCACUAGUCUUCGGCCGGAGGGGUUUAUUGCACAAAAAGGCCGGGACGCAGGCUCCCGCAGAGGAAAGCCCAACGAAUGUCAGAUGCAAAGCCCCGCACCUCAUUAAGAUCAUAUUGGCAUACUCUCCCAAAAAAAAAAGAGCAGACCCCAUUGAAGACGGGAGUGAGGUACAACAAGGCCAUUUCCGUCCACCUUCUCACGGAGCCGUACGUGGACGUUACCGCUCAUACAGCUCCCAGCCAGCAAGCAGUUAGCUUUCCUCUAGAAGUCAUGGAAGUGUGGAUAAAUCGACAUCAAACUCUAGUCGACAGAAGGUUUUUCUUUUUUUCCCGCUCGCAGUAGUAGUCCCAAUAUUCCAAUACUACAGCGUUAGCAGCGUUUUGUCUCGAUGAAAAAUCUUCUGGUGACCAUGAUCUUCUCUAUCCUUUGGACUUGAACGAUCCAAUUUCGAAUCUUGUUGGAGAUUCUUUAUCUGGCUUUGACGUAUGGGGCCCUUUCCCCACUGUUUGAUAAAAGUUUUGCAUCUUUCCUUUACAUCCGAACAGGACGGGCCACUAGUCCCUGAUCUGGACGCCGCACCUGGAACUCCUUCUACCUGUGGUUGUGGGGUUGGCGCCUCCUGAGCUGCUUGAGCAGCACCCACAAGGGGGUGGGAAGGAAUAAGACUACAUAAGAGAAUACUCUCUUUUUACUUUAUUGACUGGUGUCCCGCGGAUCUCUCUCUUUAGGCGCUUCGUUUAGUUCGUUUAUAGCGAGAAAGCCCAUGCGAGUCAAUUAAGUAAGCUGGAAGUUUUGAAAAAGCCUGGAACUUGAUCCAAUCUCUAACCAAUUGCGGCUUGUUAGAGCACCUAAGCAACGAUGCGAAUAAUCGCUUGCCUAAUUCAGUAGGGUUUUCAUUUGAUUUCUAUAUGAUAAUAUGCAGUAGCCAUCCAUCCUGGAAAGGAACAACCAUAAGUGAUUAGAGCGAUGCUCCUUUUUUUGCAAAGAGUUGAGUUCUUCCUCUUUCGCGCAGGAUAGCCACGGACUCUUCCGAAACAUUCAGAUAUAGGAAAAGCCAGAGCCAAAGCCAACGCGUCAAAGUCAAGUCAGGUUCAGCAAUCGACGUAACAGGUUCCAAUACUCUAAGCUAGGUAUAUAGAAGGUAUAUUCGAUUCAACAAUCUGAAGUUGUGGAGUUAGCCCUCGGUAUACCAUACUGUAAGCCUCAGAUAAUCACUAGCUUAUUCAAGAAUAAUAUAGUAAAGUCGUAGAGGAAGAAAAGAAAGAAGAGAAAGAACUGGGAGUAUGAGGACAACUUACAGGGAGAAGGAAGGUGGAGACAAACAACAGGAGCUAUUCAACCAUCGUUAGAGGCAAACCUUAGAAGAAUGCUGGAAGAAGAGGAAAGCUGAUUGAUAACACUUAACCAAACAUCGCAAGGACAGGAAGGAGUAUCCUGAACGUAAGGCCAAUGGCUAGCAUACUUCGCUGAACACUCAACUUGAUCUAUAUCGAUAGACACAUCUGAGAGAAUCAUAGUUCCCCCUCUGGGGAUAACUAGUUCUUCUCCCGAGUCCUUGUUUUGUAUGAGAUAACAGCAGUCUUUACUUAACCGAGCAUCGUAGGGCUUACUUCAUCACACAUAGCUGUCUUUACUUUCGUUUCGCUAACCGCCCAAAAGCAGGUGCGCACACACAAAUGCUAGGCGAGAUACGUAGUUCUCUCAACCCUUCCUAUCCAUCAUUACAGACCGGAACUAGAUCGGAUUAGGUAGAGCAAGACCUUGAGCCUCUUGAGAAACCAAUAGAAACGACAGUAGCUAGCUUCACCAGAAGAGGAAGAAAGACUUCUAUAACUUCACUUCCCUCCACUCAUACUCUUUACCUGUGGGGCUGUAUGGUACUUUAGCUGGACUUUACACCAGCUCUAUUCACUGAUAGCGUUACUGGCUCUUUUCCAGCAUUUCUUGAAAGCAGCUCGCACUCACCGCUGCGCGCCUAGUUAGGCUUUGAAAUAAUAGGAACAAAGAUCUUCCGCAAUCAAUGUUGUACUCAAAUCCUCUCUGGCCGGGUUUUGCUUGACUUAUCACGCAUGCAUACUUGAAAUACUUUACUUAGCUUUCUAAACCGGUACUACUCAACCUAUACCAUUGCUUCUCCGUGAAUACAUACUUGCUUAGCUAACUACCUUAAGAAGUAUUAAUCACAAGCAAAUGCCUAGCUAGCUAAAACAACCUAUCCAGAUGCAUAUCUCGAUACCUGUUAUUCCGGUCGGUGCUUCUUUCAAGGGACAACCUCUGCUCGUGGUUCAUAUCUUGCUAGCUCUGUCCCAAGCUCCUCUUUCUAGUAGCCCUACUAAACCUAUGAGUUGACUCGUACAUACUCACUUAUUCUUUACUUAUCUUAUCUGUGACUGCAUAUUCCUAGCAUUGACCUAUUCAAUAUGUCUCUAUUGGCUAAACAAUAGCCCUUGUAAAAACAACUAUACCUGUCUCUGCCCGUGAAAACGAAAAAACAAAUCAACUACGGCUCCCUCAACGUACUCACUUGUUGACCUAUCCAGCUUAUCCAACUACUUGACCUAAACCAUAUGGAUAUACCGGUACUGCACCGUUACGCAAAAAUGAACUCCUUUUUAUAGUGGGCCUAUGUCUUGUAUCCGUUACUUGGUCGUUCAAAUCACACAACCCAUACCUAACUCCUGUUUAGAAACCUGUGCUUGCCAGCUUAUCCUUUUUAGAAAUAUGCCUAUUCCUUUCCCUGAGCAAGGUAUAUAGAGGUAGUCACUCAUUGCCAGAACUACUACUAAAUGCCAAUGCUAGUGCUAAGCUUCAAGUACUACUCAGAAAUCUUAUGCAUAGGAAAUCCUAUCUAUAUAGAUAGUGGUUUCGUUAUCCUCAAGUCACUCAAUAAACUCUUUCCUACUUUCGUUAGACUUCUAUCGGGUAGCUGCUUACACCUACUUUCCUAUUAGAAAUUGCUGCUACUCCCUAUGUUUCCUAUUUUUGCGGCUACCUCCCUAGUGAGUGAGUCCUCCCACCCAAGCUAGAAACCUAUACCCAAGUUAACUCCUUUCUACUAUUUGUUUUCGUUCUUAUACUGAUUGCUGUUUUUCACUGUCUCCUAUUCAUGCUUAGCGCCCUGGGUAUCCUUUGAAACUAGGCCGGCUAUCAAUAGUUGGAUAUGAAGUAAGUGAAGAGCGAAGUCAUUAAGAAAGAAAAAAGGGUUUCUAAUAUUUCAGUGAAUAAGCCUGAAAGAAAUUGCACUUGUUGAGAUAAGUCAAGCUGUUCCUAACCAUAGUAUUUUAGAUCUCAGUCGGUCCACUCAAGCUUACCAGAUUGUUUGUAAGGUCUCGCGCAUCGUUGAUACUUGGAUGUUAGUGGUUCAAAGAAAAGAUAAGAACUAUUCGAAAUUAAUUCAAAAGGAAUGAGUUUUUUUGAGUUACGUCUGUGACCUCGGGAAAGUCAUCUGCUACUCUGCUUCUCGACACGAAAGCAGGGCAAUGCUCCAUUUUUGAUAAUUCGUCCUACCCUUAGCUUUGCUACUUGACUCGGAACAACGGUUCGGAGUUCGCCAGAAUACGACGACAUGCUGAGUUCUCAACGACUAGCAUGAAUUGAAGGACGCUGAUUGCCGUUGUACCUAUUGAUAAAGGAUUGGACAACUCGACACGGACUACGCAACGGGCUUCAAGGAAUUGAAGAAUCAACUAGUCACUACGCUGCAUACUCGUACCAGGGAAUGUUGCAGACCGACCUUCGUUGCUGGGCUGGAAUAGAAACUGACGUAUGGAGGACUUGUGAGAUCUUUCACUCUUCGACAACGAAAGCCUUGAGGACGUCAGCGAUGUGUUAUAGGGACGUCUCGCGAUCUUGCUUCUAGAGUACGUACGGGAACAUCCAAUCGAGUGCCUAACCUUGGGUGCUCCGAUCUUGUUCGUGAGGAAGAAAGACUGCCUUCUUCGUUCAAUGAAUCUGCAUACCACCAAGGGCUAUUUGAAAAAAGAAGUCUGAAUCCGUGUCUUCUCUGCCAUUUGAUUUCCUUCACCACUAGCACUAGCCCCGCCAGCUACUAGAGUAUAGCUACUUUCGCUACCUUGACUCUUCUUGUUAUUAUCCAGACCCUCAUUCAAAAGCAAAGAAAUCAAGAUUCAUAAGCAAAGCGAAGGCCAAGCCUGAUCUCCCUUUCCCUUGAUAUGGUGGACUCCUAAAAUAGGCUUUCUUUGUUCGUAUGAUUUUUCAGAAUACUAUAAUAAGCCACUCCUGAAAAUGGGCUGGCUACUCGAACCAAAUAUUGAACUUGCUCUUUAGCAUAGGUAGACUUCACUACCUGGAUAGGUCAGCCUCGUUCCCAUUUCUCUGGUCCUAUAUGUUUUUUUUGCAAGUACCAUUCCUGCUAUUCGCAUUGAUUGAUUUAGAGUCUUGAUGGAAGUGUCAAAUACUUAGUAGGAAGUCCCGGUGGGUAAUCACCAAAUGUUCUAGUACGAGUACAUCCAGUUCCGGGUGGUCAUCUAGUAUGGGACCUAAGAGAAGCCCUUUUUGAAUCCUUUUAUUAAGCCAUUGCUAAUCCCGUAAUCCUUCAACGUUGUAGAAAAGAGUUCAAUACAAAAGCACACAAAGGCUUUGGACUAUGAAAGGCUACCUUUAUCAUGCAUGAAUAAGGCCGGGAGAUUAUGUCCU
rnacentral:lncRNA from 1 species